rnacentral:rRNA from 1 species
AGUGAACGCUGGCGGUAGGCCUAACACAUGCAAGUCGAACGGCAGCACAGUAAGAGCUUGCUCUUACGGGUGGCGAGUGGCGGACGGGUGAGGAAUACAUCGUAAUCUACUUUUUCGUGGGGGAUAACGUAGGGAAACUUACGCUAAUACCGCAUACGUCCUACGGGUGAAAGCAGGGGAUCUUCGGACCUUGCGCGAUUGAAUGAGCCGAUGUCGGAUUAGCUAGUUGGCGGGGUAAAGGCCCACCAAGGCGACGAUCCGUAGCUGGUCUGAGAGGAUGAUCAGCCACACUGGAACUGAGACACGGUCCAGACUCCUACGGGAGGCAGCAGUGGGGAAUAUUGGACAAUGGGCGCAAGCCUGAUACAGCCAUACCGCGUGGGUGAAGAAGGCCUUCGGGUUGUAAAGCCCUUUUGUUGGGAAAGAAAAGCAGCAGGUUAAUACCCCGCUGUUCUGACGGUACCCAAAGAAUAAGCACCGGCUAACUUCGUG